GGGCAGGUGGCCGAGUGGUCGAAGGCGCACGCCUGGAACGCGUGUAGGCGAGCAAUCGUCUCGAGGGUUCGAAUCCCUCUCUGUCCGCCA
rnacentral:tRNA from 3 species